AGCGAACGCUGGCGGCAGGCUUAACACAUGCAAGUCGAGCGGGCCCUUCGGGGUCAGCGGCGGACGGGUGAGUAACGCGUGGGAACGUGCCCUCUGGUUCGGAAUAACUCAGGGAAACUUGAGCUAAUACCGGAUACGCCCUUUUGGGGAAAGGCUUGCUGCCGGAGGAUCGGCCCGCGUCUGAUUAGCUAGUUGGUGAGGUAACGGCUCACCAAGGCGACGAUCAGUAGCUGGUCUGAGAGGAUGAUCAGCCACACUGGGACUGAGACACGGCCCAGACUCCUACGGGAGGCAGCAGUGGGGAAUAUUGGACAAUGGGCGCAAGCCUGAUCCAGCCAUGCCGCGUGAGUGAUGAAGGCCUUAGGGUUGUAAAGCUCUUUUAUCCGGGACGAUAAUGACGG
rnacentral:rRNA from 1 species